UUCGCGGGAGUCACCGUGGCCCAGCAUCGGCCUUCGUGAGCCCGAGGCAUUGGUCGCGGCGGGGUCGUUCGAAGGCGAUCCCGCGGAAC
rnacentral:tRNA from 1 species